rnacentral:sRNA from 1 species
CAGCGCGGGGGAGGGAGUGUAAAUAGAGCGAAGGCUGCUCUGUGUCAGCCCCGUCACCGCCGGGCGGCCCGCGCGGAGUCUGAGGGAGAUGGAAGUUGAGCAAGAGCAGCGGCGCAGAAAGGUGGAGGCCGGGAGGACGAAGCUUGCUCACUUCCGACAGAGAAAAACAAAAGGUGACAGUUCGCAUUCGGAGAAAAAGACGGCGAAGAGGAAGGGCUCGGCUGUCGAUGCGCCUGUCCAGGAGGAGAGUCCGGUAGCCAAGGAGGACAGCGCACUCCGUGGAGGAGGGGACAUUUGCAAAAGCGUAUCAUGUGACGACACCUCUGAUGGGGCAGGAGGGGCCUUUGCAGCUCAGGCGGAGGACUGUGAUGGAGAGAAGAGAGAGGACUUGGAACAGCUGCAGCAGAAGCAAGUCAAUGACCACCAACCAGAACAGCGUGGGAUGUUCACGGUCAGUGACCACCAACCAGAACAGCAUGGGAUCUUCACAAUGAGUGACGAUCGUCUAGAACAGCGUGGGAUGUUCACGGUCAGUGACCACCAACCAGAACGGUGUGAGAUCUUCACAAUGAGUGACGAUCGUCCAGAACAGCGUGGGAUGUUCACAGUCAGUGACCACCAACCAGAACGGUGUGGGAUCUUCACAAUGAGUGACGAUCGUCCAGAACAGCAUGGGAUGUUCACAGUCAGUGACCACCAACCAGAACAGCGUGAGAUCAUCACAAAGGCGUGUGAACAAGAAUGUGAACUUGCCAUUACUGACUUGGAGAGCGGCCGUGAAGAUGAGGCUGGCUUGCAGCAGAGUCAGUGGCCUUUUCUCCACCGCAGGCCGUGCAUGGCCUUGAACUGGAGGCGCUGCGCCUGAGUCUGAGCAACAUGCACACGGCGCAGCUGGAGCUGACACAGGCCAACCUCCAGAAGGAGAAGGAGACGGCACUGACGGAGCUGCGGGAGAUGCUUAACAGCCGGCGUGCCCAGGAGCUGGCCCUGCUACAGAGCAGGCAGCAGCACGAGCUGGAGCUCCUCAGGGAGCAGCACGCACGGGAGAAGGAGGAGGUGGUGCUCAGCUGAGCUGAAGGAGAAGUUACAAUCAGAAAUGGAGAAAAACGCCCAGAUAGUAAAGACCCUGAAGGAAGACUGGGAAUCUGAAAAAGAUUUAUGUUUAGAAAAUCUACGCAAAGAAUUGUCUGCAAAGCAUCAAUCAGAAAUGGAGGAUUUACAAAACCAGUUUCAUAAAGAAUUGGCAGAACAGAGAGCUGAGUUGGAGAAGAUUUUUCAAGACAAAAACCAGGCUGAAUGGGCCCUGAGGAACCUGGAGAGUCAUCAUCAAGCAACCAUUGAGAAGUUACGUGAAGACCUGCAGUCCGAGCACGGCCGGUGUUUAGAAGACUUGGAGUUCAAGUUCAAAGAGAGCG